GACGUAGGGGACGAGCGUUGUCCGGAUUCAUUGGGCGUAAAGCGCGCGUAGGCGGUUACGCAAGUCGGUUGUGAAAAUCCGGGGGCUCAACCCCGGACCUGCAUCCGAUACUGCGUGACUAGAGGUAGGUAGGGGAGAUCGGAAUUCCUGGUGUAGCGGUGAAAUGCGCAGAUAUCAGGAGGAACACCUGUGGCGAAGGCGACCCCCUGGUUGGAUACUGACGCUGAGACGCGAAAAGCGUGGGGAGCAAACAGG
rnacentral:rRNA from 1 species